AAGAGACAGCAGCAGCCGCGGUAAUACAGAGGGUGCGAGCGUUAAUCGGAUUUACUGGGCGUAAAGCGUGCGUAGGCGGCUUCUUAAGUCGGAUGUGAAAUCCCUGAGCUUAACUUAGGAAUUGCAUUCGAUACUGGGAAGCUAGAGUAUGGGAGAGGAUGGUAGAAUUCCAGGUGUAGCGGUGAAAUGCGUAGAGAUCUGGAGGAAUACCGAUGGCGAAGGCAGCCAUCUGGCCUAAUACUGACGCUGAGGUACGAAAGCAUGGGGAGCAAACAGGAUUAGAUACCCCUGUAGUCCCUGUCUCUUAUAC
rnacentral:rRNA from 1 species